UUGGAGCCCGAGUUGUAGUCUGCAGAGGAUGCUUCCCGGCAGUGCCAGAGCCCCAAGCCCUGUGGAACCAGGGCGCCAGAGAGGGUGAGAGCCCCGUCUUGGGCUCUGGGCACUGCCAUUAUGUGUAGCUCCUUCGACGAGUCGAGUUGUUUGGGAAUGCAGCUCUAAAUGGGUGGUAAAUCUCAUCUAAAGCUAAAUACCAGCCAGAGCCCGAUAGCGCACAAGUAGAGUGAUCGAAAGAUGAAAAGCACUUUGAAAAGAGAGUCAAACAGCACGUGAAAUUGUUGAAAGGGAAGCGCUUGCAACCAGACUCGGCCUGCAGCUGUCUAUGGGUGGGCACAUUGCGCUGCCCACUCUCUCAGAUUGCGGGCCAGGCCAGCAUCAGCACUGGGGGCAGCAGGAGGGGUUGGCUGGGAAUGUGGCUCUCCCUCGGGGGAGCGUUAUAGCCUGCCAUUGCCCGCUGCUGCCACCCAGCGCUGAGGAACAUGCCCCCUUUUGUGGGGUAUGGAUGCUUGGCGUAAUGGUUGCCAGCGACCCGUCUUGAAACACGGACCAAGGAGUCUAACAUCUACGCGAGUGUUUGGGUGCACAAGCCCGGACGCGCAAUGAAAGUGACUGGGGGACGCCGGCCCGUCAAAAAGGCCUAAAGUCUCAGCCGAAUCCUGACGUUCCACUGACGGAUUUGAGCGCGAGCGUAGCUGUUGGGACCCGAAAGAUGGUGAACUAUGCCUGAAUAGGGUGAAGCCAGAGGAAACUCUGGUGGAGGCUCGCAGCGGUUCUGACGUGCAAAUCGAUCGUCAAAUUUGGGUAUAGGGGCGAAAGACUAAUCGA
rnacentral:rRNA from 1 species